UGCAUCGAUGAAGAACGCAGCCAGUUGCGAUAAGUAGUGUGAAUUGCAGAAUUCAGUGAAUCAUCGAAUCUUUGAACGCAAAUUGCGCUCUCUGGAUAUCCAGGGAGCAUGCCUGUCUGAGUGUCGUGAUAAAAACUACACACCACUGGUGUGGCAUGUGGGUUUCGCGUUUGCAUCGUCUUGAACUAGAUGGUGAACUAAACUCGUCCCGCGAAGUGCGUGAACCUGAAUGUGCUGCUGUGCAUGUGCAUUAGGAAGGCUCAACUUGCUUCUGUCCUUCCCUAUGCGUUAUCAUGCCAGUAGAUACAUUACAGUAGGUGAACUAGACGCUGCUUUCCACUCUUUCCAGUGUGGAACGGAGUGUCAAAUUCUGAUUUUGACCUCAGAUCAGACAAGACUACCCGCUGAAUUUAAGCAUAUCAAUAAGCGGAGGA
rnacentral:rRNA from 1 species